GUUACCGCCACCCUCUCCCAGGUCUAGAGAGGGGUACCCACGGCGGAGGGAGGUGGGAGGCCGAGACGGCCCCGGGGGUCGGCGGAAACCCAGCGGGAGCAGGGGGAAAUCGGAAGAGCUGGGGGCAUGGAGCGGGCGAGUUUGGAGCGGAAUGAGCCGGGAGCCCUGCGUUGUGGAAGGAAGACAACAGUAUAGGACCAUCAGCAGGACCGGACAGAGAGGGGCACACGAGACUGGCCUCGAACUCAGAAAUCCACCUGCCUCUGACUCCCGAGUGCUGGGAUUAAAGGUGUGCACCACCACACUCAGCAAGGAAGCCUGUUGUAAGAAGUGAUUCCAUAGAGGAGUUCUGAGGCGGCUCAGGGCUCACUGUAUAGGCAGCUUGACUAAACAGUGGACCUCAGGGUCCCAUUUCUCUCAGUAGACAAGAGAGGCUAAACCAGGCUGCAGGUGACAGGAAGAAUUGAAUAAACUGAAAGCAAAGGGCAGCCUUCUAAUUACGCUGCUUUGUGGCUACGUGGACAACCUGGAGAAGUCUGGAAAUAAAGAAGCCAGAAGCCCGAAGCCAGCAGUAGAGCUCUGACUGGCUUGUAUGCCUAGAAAGGAAGGGCUCUUCUUUCGCCUCACGGGCACAAAUGGGACCCAUGAGCGCCGAUUUCAGAUGAUUCUGAUCCUUUCAAAAAGAAAGUUAGGAGUCCAGGCUACUCCACUUUGGUGAUAGAAAUCAAACCCUAAUCACGGUGCAGCCACAAGUCACAGAGACCGAAAUAGCAGACUUAGGACAGACAAGGAUGGAGACAGCUAAGGAACUGGCUAUUAAUCACCAGUCCCUUUGCUCACAGCCCAUUGGACCCGAGGAUGAAGGAUGAGGAGGAUGGAAGAAAAUGGGAGUGGCGCUUGCUGCAAAGGGUCGCGAAGGGUCUCAGCACCUGCCAACUGGCUCCAAUCCAAACUCCACUAUUCAUGGUCAAGUUCACAUAGGGCCGUAGGGUUCUAACAAGAUGUGACUAAACUUAUGUUUUCUAUCUUAUUGAUUGUUGUGUGGUUGAUGCACGUCUGGUGGUGCAUCCUUGAAGAACACAGACACCCUGAGAAGAGACAUAGUCCCCAGGUUCCAGCACUUACUUCUCUGUGAGCUACCACUGUAGCUGAAGAUACAGGGCUCAGGACGAACACUUGGCCUUCACUUUGAACUUCAGGCCCACGUAACCAUCAGCCUACGUGACACUGCAAAGGCACCUUAGCUCUGCUGUCCCAGAUGGCCAAGCCAACCUUAUUCCAGAAGCUAUUGCUCCUCAUGUAAGAACCAGACACAAAAAAAGACAACCUCUGCCUCACCCUCCUUCACACAACACUGAGUCUGUCACCUUUGAAGCAUUUCUCAAGCCGUGUUUAUUCCCCUGGCCUACAUGGAACACAGCCAGGGUACGGAACACAACCUCAGCACCGGUUUGCUUUCCUCUCCCCCUUUCUGGUCUUUCUCAGAUGCCCAGAGCUCUUCUGUCCCAAUGACUGCUUAUCAAAGAUCUCACUGUGUCCCCACCCAAGGGGUCUUUGGCCACCCUGUGAAGUCCUAGUGGCCUGGAGUUUGCCCCCUUUCCCAGGCACCUUAGGGUUCCUGCUGCAGCUCCAGAACUGGGGGAGCAGGGUUGGGGGUGAGUGUGUGUGUGUGUGUGUGUGUGCGCGUGUGUGUGUGUGUCAAUGUUGACUCACCCUGCAGUAUUCUCUCCAUCUGAACAGGUCCCCAGUCUCUGAGACUGAAUCACCCCUCUUUCACUAUGCCUCUGCACAGCUGCCCUUGUGCUCCCUCUCCUUGCCCCGCCUCUUUUUAAGACAGAGUAUUAUGCAGCCCUGGCUGUCCUGGAACUUGUGUAAACCAGCCUGGCCUUGAACUUGCAGAGAUCCACCUGCCUCUGCUUCUGCCUCUGCCUCUGCUUCUGCCUCUGCCUCUGCCUCUGCCUCUGCCUCUGCCUCUGCCUCUGCCUCUGCCUCUGCCUCUGCCUCUGCCUCUGCCUCUGCCUUUCUGCCUCUGCCUUUCUGCCUCUGCCUCUGCCUUUCUGCCUCUGCCUCUCAAGUGUCAGGGAUUAAUGUCUGCCACCUCCCCAGUCCCACCUCUCUCCAUCUACCAUGUAGGUUCCACGGGGCAAGCCCAAGUCAUCAGUGCCUUUCUCCACUGAGCCGUUUGGUGUGUCUUUGAUGGUGAUUAUUUACAGGAGCUAUUCAGCAAAGUUAAAUGCUGGCAACCCAAUGAGGGGUCUCUUGAUCCAAAACUGAGAAGUUGAGGCACUAUUUCAGAAUGACCAAAGACAGUGGAAGAAUCUAGAUAUGUCAAUGAUGAGAACAAUAAUAACUCCAAAAGCUGAGGGAAAUUAACUCAAAAGCUUCCAGCUUCCUUUUCCUUACCUAGUUUAGUGGACUCCAACUCUCGGGAUAGCUUUUUCCUGGCCCCAAACUCACCUGAUUCGUCUAUCCACCGCCACACUGAAGAACGAACAGCUGUCUCAGAGAGCUUGGCUCCAGAGCUCUGCAAAAAGAGAACACCUUGCCUUGAGCUGUGUUUCCAGAAUGCAUUGCAGCCCCCAGAGUCAUGUACUGUGACCAGGUCAGGACAUGCAUCUUCUGUUCUCCUGUACCCAGGGCCCCAGCAACCAAGGAUCUGGGGACAUGGCUGAUGUUUGGCAGGUUCGCACUCUGAAAAUAUUUGAUGAGACUCAGUAUAUGCUAAAUAAACACUGGAUCAAGU